rnacentral:rRNA from 1 species
CACGUAGGGUGCGAGCGUUGUCCGGAAUUAUUGGGCGUAAAGAGCUCGUAGGCGGUGUGUCGCGUCGGCCGUGAAAACCUGCAGCUUAACUGUGGGCUUGCGGUCGAUACGGGCAUCACUGGAGUUCGGCAGGGGAGACUGGAAUUCCUGGUGUAGCGGUGAAAUGCGUAGAGAUCGGGAAGAACAUCGGUGGCGAAGGCGGCCUGCUGGGCCGUUGCUGACGCUGAGGCGCGACAGCGUGGGGAGCAAACAGG